ensembl:misc_RNA Metazoa_SRP Metazoan signal recognition particle RNA
GCUGGUCAUGGUGGUGCAUGUCUGUAAUCCCAGCUACUUGGGAGGCUGAGGCAGGAGAAUUGCUUGAACCCAGGAGGCGGAGGUUGCAGUGAGCUGAGAUUGCGCCACUGCACUCCAGCCUGGGUGACAGAGCAAGACUCUGUCUCAA